UAAGGAAUAUUGGUCAAUGGGCGCAAGCCUGAACCAGCCAUGCCGCGUGAAGGAUGACGGCCCUAUGGGUUGUAAACUUCUUUUAUACGGGAAAAAACCUCUGGUCGUGUACCAGAGCUGAUGGUACCGUAAGAAUAAGCAUCGGCUAACUCCGUGCCAGCAGCCGCGGUAAUACGGAGGAUGCAAGCGUUAUCCGGAUUCAUUGGGUUUAAAGGGUGCGCAGGCGGAUUAUUAAGUCAGUGGUGAAAGCCUACAGCUUAACUGUAGAACUGCCAUUGAUACUGAUAUUCUUGAGUGUUGUUGAGGUAGGCGGAAUGUGUCAUGUAGCGGUGAAAUGCUUAGAUAUGACACAGAACACCGAUCGCGAAGGCAGCUUACCAAGCAACAACUGACGCUCAU
rnacentral:rRNA from 1 species